CAAAAUUUCACAUAUCCAUCACCAAUCACAAUAAUUCUAGAACUAUUAUGCAAAAAAAACAAGAUCACAUCAAACAAAAUUGGAUUUUUGCAUUAAAUACAUAUUUUUCUCAAGAAAUUGCACACAAAAAUCAACAAAGGGAUUGCUGUUGGGGCUGCCGGUGCUGGUGCAUGGCUGGUCAGAGAUAACUGAGCGUUGAGGGAGUGUCUGGUCAGCGAGGGGUUACUGUGGUGGUUGGAUUGGUGGCGUGUGGGGUUAUCUGCGUGUAUAACAUGCGCAAAAAUUAAUGUUUCGUGAUGGAGGGGCUGUGACUGAUGGUUGGUGGCGCUAGUGGUGGUCGAUGAUGACAAGGCAGUCGUGGUGUGACGUGGUAGCAACCUUUUUGUGGGUGUUUGGAGUUUUAUGGGUCUUUUUCUACAAAAAGAAAAGAGAAGAGAAAAAAAGAAAAAUAAUAUAUGGAGGAGUGUCUGUUGGAGAAAAAGAGUUACAGCGUAAUUAGGAUAAAUUUGGUUAAGGGAGUGUUUGGUUGGAGGAAUUAUUCAAAGUCUUUUUCUUAUUUUAAUUAGAUUUGUUGUUUAAACAAAUUCCAAUUAAAUAGGACAUAUCCUUUAGGAGUUUGGAUGAGAAUAAAUUGGUGGGAGAUAUAUGGUG
rnacentral:lncRNA from 1 species